rnacentral:lncRNA from 1 species
UCACUUUCUUUAGCAAAAAAACAAAUAUUCUAAAAUAUUGAUUAUAAUACCACCAUUGCUUAUUAUCACACCAAAAAUAUGUAUAAGAAUCCUUCCAAACUUGUUGUCUAACUACUAUUGGAAAUCAAUUAUUGUCUUGCACCAACAUGGCAAAUUACGGCUGAUUUUCCAUAAUCAUCAACUCCCAAGCCAUGUCCUGCUCUUAUUGCUACCAAAUUGUCUCUACAUCUCCGCAAUACCACUGCUCUGAUUUCCUGUGAUAGAAAUGCCUUCACCUCACCGCCUUCUCUCAAAUGGCUAUAUAAUUUAGAUCUGUCAAUAUCAAUCUAGCGCAACACCACCAUUGCUUUUCUUUUAAUCAACUUAAGUUCUUCUAAAAUUGGCACCCCAUCCUCCUUCUAAUCAACAACCUUCCCUACUAAUCUAGAUCUACUCCUAUGUCCACAAUCAAA